CAUUACCGAAUUGGCCUUCAUUUCUCGUAUCCCCUGCCUUAAACCCAUUCUGUGUACCUUGCCUGUUGCUUCCAUGGAGCCUGACUUUGGUCACUCUUGUGAUGUAAAUCCCAAGGGAGUCCCCAUGGAAGGUCAUCAAUAAAACUCAUGUAUCCAAUGUCUUCUGUCUGAACUGUUUAUAACAAUUGUUAAAACUUUCAACAACGGAUCUCUUGGUUCUCGCAUCUAUGAAGAACGCAGCGAAAUGCGAUAAGUAGUGUGAAUUGCAGAAUUCAGUGAAUCAUCGAAUCUUUGAACGCACAUUGCGCCUCCUGGUAUUCCGGGAGGCAUGCCUGUUCGAGCGUCUUUAAAUACCUCUCAAGCACCAUUGCUUGGUCAUGGAAGAUGAGUAUGCUUGCUUUCUCCCUUCUGAAAUUCAAAGGCGGAUCAUCUCAUAUUCCCUGGGGUAGUACGUGUUUAUCUUUCGCUUGGAGUGUCGGACAGUCUUGCCGUCGACCCCCAUUAUUUCAAGGUUGACCUCGGA
rnacentral:misc_RNA from 1 species